rnacentral:rRNA from 1 species
UAAAAAGUUCUUAAAGCAUUAAAUGGAUACCUAAAUAUUAAAAUUUUAAAAUGGACGUUUGUUAACGAAAUGCUGUAGUGAGUGUAAUUUUAUUUGCUGAGAUCUAUAGUUUUCCAUUAAUCGGUAAACCGAACUUUAGUGAUAAAAGUUUAUUUUUAAAAAAAUAAAAAACUUAGUGAAUUGAAUCAUCUUAGUAACUAAGAAAAAAAUCAACCGAGAAUACUGUUAAUAGUGGUGAGCGAAAGCAGUAAAAGACUUAAUUUUUUAAAUAAUUUAUGUUAAAUAACUAAAAAGCCAAAGAAGGUAACCAGCCCUGUAUAACAAUAAAUAAAAAAUUUAAUAAGUAAAGCAAUCCAAGUCAUGGUUUGUUUGAAUUUGGGGGACCAUCCUCAAAGUCUAAAAAUUUUAAUAUUUGAUAGUGAAUAAGUAUCGUGAGAGAAAGGUGAAAAAGAAAUUUCGACAUUGAAAAGUUAUUGAAAUUUAGUGCUAACAAUCAGUUGAAGCUUUUAAUUUAUUAAAAAAGUAACAAUGUACCUUUUGUAUAAUGAAUCAAUAAGUUUAUUCAGAUGGCGAGCUUAAAUAUAAAAAAAUGUAGGCAAAAAUAAAUUGAGUUUAAAAAUGCAAUUUCAGUCUUUUGAAUAAUACCCGAAACUAAGUGAUCUAACCAUGAACAGGUUGAAAAUUAAAUUUAUUUAUUGGAGGACCGAACCCGUACAUACGGAAACAUGUUGGGAUGAUUUGUGGUUAGGAGUGAAAGGCUAAUCAAACUUAGAGAUAGCUGGUUUUCUGCGAAAUCUAUUUAAGUAGAGCAUUUAAAAUUCUUUAUUUGGGGUAGAGCUCUUGAUAAGUGAUGGGGAUGAAAAUCUUACUGAAUUUACUAAAACUUCGAAUACAAAUAAAAAGAUUUUAAAUAGACAGACUGUGGGUGCUAAGAUCCAUAGUCAAAAGGGAAACAGCCCAGACUAUUAGUUAAGGUCCUUAAAAACAAUUAAGUGUAAAAAAUGUAAAAAAAUGUUAACAAUCGACAGGUAGGCUUAGAAGCAGCCAUCCUUUAAAGAAAGCGUAACAGCUCAUUGAUUUAGUAUUUUUGCAUUGAAAAUGUAAAGGGACUUAAAUUGUUUACCGAAGCUAUAGAUUUAAAUAAACGUUAAAUGGUAGCAGAACGUUCUGUAGAUUUAAAAAGAUUUAUGGUAACAUAAAUUGGAAAGAUCAGAAGUGCUAAUAUUGAUAUGAGUAGCGAUAAACAAUGUGAAAAACAUUGUCGCCUUAAGUCCUAGGUUUCCAAAACCAGGCUAAUCCGUUUUGGAAAGUUAAUCGGUCUCUAAGAAAAGUAAUGAAAAUUUAAUUUAAUGAGAAAAAGAUUUAAUUUCUUUUUUUUUUAAAGUGACAAAAUAUAAAAAUUGUUUUUAUUUUAUGGUUUAAAUUCAAGCAGUCUAAUAUUUUCAGGAAAUAGCUUUUAAAAAUGAUAACCGUACUUAAACCAACACAGGUGGACUAAUUUAGUAAAUUAAGGCGCUUGAAAUAAUUGUGUUGAAGGAACUCGGCAAAAUGACUCCGUAACUUCGGGAUAAGGAGUGACUUUUUAGGGCAACCUAAAAUAGUUAUCAUAAAAUCGGGGACAGCGACUGUUUAUCAAAAACACAGGUCUCUGCUAAUUUGUAAAAAGAUGUAUUGAGACUGACGCCUGCCCAGUGCUGCAAGAUUAAAGGAAAAAGUUUAUUGCUUUGACCCUAACCCCCAGUAAACGGCGGCUGUAACUCUGACGGUCCUAAGGUAGCAAAAUUUAUUGGCAUUUAAUUGGUGUCCUGCAUGAAUGGCGUAACGACUGUCCUACUGUCUCCAGCACAAAUUCAGUGAAAUUGAAUUUCCCGUGAAGAUGCGGGAUUUCUACGGCUAGACGGGAAGACCCCGUGCACCUUUACUAUAGUUAUAUUAUUGUAUUAAAAAUUUUUGUGUGUAGAAUAAGUGGGAAGUCGAAUUAAUAUUUUAGGUUGUUUUUACGCAAGUAAAUUACGAAGACUUAGUUGAAAUACCACUCUCAAAAGUUUUUGAUACUUAUUUUUUAAAGACAGUGUAUAAUGGGUAGUUUGACUGGGGUGGUCGCCUCCUAAAAAGUAACGGAGGCGUGCAAACGGUAAGUUUAAAUUUGGUUUUAUCAAAUUUUAAGCAUAAUAGUAUAUACUUGCUUGACUGUAAGAUUGACAAAUCGAGCAGGGACGAAAGUCGGUUAUAGUGAUCCGGUGAUUCUGAAUGGAAAAGGUUAUCGCUCAACGAAUAAAAGGUACGCCGGGGAUAACAGGCUAAUCACUCUUUAGAGACCCUAUCGAUGGAGUGGUUUGGCACCUCGAUGUUGGAUUAUCGCAUCCUGGAGCUGUACAAGGUUCCAAGGGUUUGGCUGUUCGCCAAGAAAGGCGGUACAUGAUCUGAGUUUAGAACGUCGUGAGACAGUUUGGGUCCUAUCUACCGUAGGUGAAUAAAAAUUGAAAGGAGUAAACCCUAGUACGAGAGGACCGGGAAAAGUGAAUCUCUGGUUUAUCGAUUGUUAUACCAAUAGCAUUGUCGAGUAGCUAUAUUCAUAAUAAAUAAUCGCUGAAUGCAUCUAAGUGAGAAGUUAACCUUAAAACUAUUUUUUAUGUAAAUGUAAAAGAAUAUUACAUUGAUAGGUUUAGUGUGUAAAAGUUGUAAGAUUUUAAGCUAAUAAAUACUAAAAAUUUAUUUUAUAUUAACUUUUUA